GCCUGAACAGAUACCCACGCAAGUCUCCCUUUCUCUCUCUAAUUUCAAAGUAUACAUUCAAAAGCUCCUGUGUCCCUCGAUUUUAACCUUCACUUUCUCCCUCUGAAAAUUUUCUCUUUCACUUUCUUAGGGUUUCUACUGGAGAGCUCUCGGCUUAGAUUCAGUUGGAAAUUAAUGGGUAUUUUUUUUUUCAUUUAUUACUUUAUUUUUUAUCUGUCAAAUUCUUUUUUUUUUUCUGCUUUUCCUGCUUUGUGUACUAUCUAAUCCUCUGUUUGGUUGUUGAGAAAAGUUGAGAAGAAAGUGAAAUUAUCUAUGGUUAUUAAGAUAUCGGAUGUGUCCUUAAGCUAAGAUAAAAUUUGCUUUCUUUUUCUUGCAAAUUUGCUUUCUUUUUCUUGUUCUUUCUUAGAUACCAAGCAGUGGAUAGGGUUUUUAAUUCAUAAAAUAAGUCCAAUUGUUGAUUUUGGUCACUUGCAUGAUUUUAUUUUCUUUGUUUCAAGUAGUGAUGAUGUUUGAUUCUUAACGAGUUAGUGAUAAAAAAAUUGUAAGACAAUUAUGAUUAAAAGAGUAAAUCUUAGCUCUUUUAAUGUUUAGGAUUCCAUGGUGGAAGACCUUACAAUCCUUAAGGUGUAAGUGAUCUGAUAGAAUAAAAGAUAACACAUGACUUGAAUGUAAAAGAAAAAAGGGUACUCCUUGCGAGUUUGUAGUUUUAGUCUUUGCUGUUAGGUGCAUACAUCUGAAAAUAAUAUUCCUUGGUCCAUUUUUCAUGGGUUGUAACUUUAAAUUUUCUGGCUUCUUUUCUUCUUCUUCUUCUUCU
rnacentral:misc_RNA from 1 species